CCUUCAUGGUGACCUUCUAAGAUGUUACCACCAGAUGAGAAACAUGUCUGCCACAAAAAGUUUCCCCUCUCCCUGCCUUUGCUGGGGCUAGUCCCGUCCUGCUCCUGGGUUUCAGACAGAGAGGAGAGCGGCAGGAUUGCCCAGGCAAAAUGUGCUAGCUGAAGGUCAGUGAUUUUCUCCAGACUUAAAGCAAGAGGGAGUUUCAAGAGGCCCGCAAUGCCUGAAAUCUCCUUCCAGAAAAUAUCCACGUGGGCAUAUGUUUGUAUCAAAUCCUGUGCCAGGAAUCUACAUGGUUUCCUUUCAAGUAUAAUUCCUUUAAAACCCUGGUCACGGGGACAAAAUUGCAAAACAUCUGAUGUUGGUUACUAAGUGGCUAAUGAUACAUUCCCAUGAAUUAGUACAAGUGACAGGGUUUGGGGGAGUUUUUUGUCUCCUCAUAACUGUAUAUCUUGUGCUUUAAUUCAAGGUCUGUCAAACAAUAAUGGUAGCAUUCCUUCUGAUUUACUAUUUCUCUGUAAAUUAUUUGACAUUUCCUAGCAUGCUUCAAUUAUUAUGUUUCUUUCUCUCUGUUGAAGAAAGAAAUGCAUCUGUUAACUUUCUUAACAUCUUGAUAAAAAGCUGUGCAGUAAAUAGAAAAAUCCAUUAAAUAUGAUGUCCAUAUAAU